rnacentral:rRNA from 1 species
UACAGAGGGUGCAAGCGUUGUUCGGAAUUAUUGGGCGUAAAGGGCGUGUAGGCGGUGGGGUAUGUCCGUUGUGAAAUCCCUCGGCUCAACCGGGGAACUGCAGCGGAAACUACUUCACUUGAGUGCGAGAGAGGGUGGCGGAAUUCUCAGUGUAGAGGUGAAAUUCGUAGAUAUUGGGAGGAACACCAGAGGCGAAGGCGGCCACCUGGCUCGUAACUGACGCUGAGGCGCGAAAGCGUGGGGAG